AGGCUCCUAAAAGUUGAUGGUAGAGGAACAGAGUCAUUGUUUUGUCCAGAACUUUGUCCGAAACAUGAUUGGAACCGUACCCUGUCCAUGCAUUUGAAGAAGAGCCUAUAGUUGCUAACGGUCAGUAUUCCACGUACAGCUCCGGUGAAAGGACAGAAAUAGGUGAUGUCUUGUGCUGUAAAAUUAAAUCAGGAUAAAAUCACUAAAGUGAGUUCAACGGAAGUGGACGAUAAAAACUCAUACCCAUAUCUUGCACAAUUUCAUUUGGAAGCAAUUGUGGUUCCUCUUUAUCAGAAUCUCGUAAAACCUGCUAAAGAAAAAAGACAACUAGGAAUGGGGAAGACGUGUUGAAGUAAUUACACAUGAUUAAUUUAGGGCUUCUACCUUUGCAUGAAUUUUGGCCUUGACCUAAAAUAGAAAAGAGUUUGCAUGUCAGUCAUGAUUCAUGACAUUGACUCCAUUUUGUUUCAUACAAACCCUGAUAUCUGGGGAGAACUCCGCUGAGGUAGCCGUCUCAGACAACAUGGCAGAGGAAGGUUUAACCUGGGCCGAACGCUCAGAACUGUUAAGAAAUAAUAUUUUUUUUUCCACAUGGCAGCCACUCUGAAAUGACGCUUUGCUACUUUUGUUAUAUGAAGUCAUGGAUGAAGAAGAGGGAGUAACAGCUGAUAACAAAAACAGUCCUGUGGGCGCUGGCCAGACCUCGUUAUCUGCUGCAAAUUCCGAUUUAUAAAUUAUCUACACGCUCCCUCUCCUCCAACUCCCUGCGGAAGUCACGGGCACGCACCUCCUCAGGAGCAUCCUGAGUUGGUUGCCUAACAGACAGAACACACAACAGAAGAUUUGAAAAAGUGUAUUUCAUGUAAGCACUUGUAGAUGAGUAUAUAAAAUAUGCUGCUGGAGUAUAUUUAUUUACUGACCUAUACUUGAUCUUUGUGUGACCGGGAAGAUCUCGACUUGAAUAUUGCUUUGACAGUGCACUCAAAUCUCCUUCUCCUUUUCCUCGCCCUCCUCUGGCGGGUUCAAAUGUUGGUCUUGCAGCAGUAGUCAUCGUGGACGGCUCUU